rnacentral:rRNA from 1 species
GACGGAGGAUGCAAGCGUUAUCCGGAAUGAUUGGGCGUAAAGCGUCCGCAGGUGGCUAUGUAAGUCUGCUGUUAAAGAGCAAAGCUUAACUUUGUAAAAGCAGUGGAAACUACAUAGCUAGAGUGCGUUCGGGGCAGAGGGAAUUCCUGGUGUAGCGGUGAAAUGCGUAGAGAUCAGGAAGAACACCGGUGGCGAAGGCGCUCUGCUAGGCCGCAACUGACACUGAGGGACGAAAGCUAGGGGAGCGAAUGGG